GAUCUGUAGCGGGUCUGAGAGGAUGAUCCGCCACACUGGAACUGAGACACGGUCCAGACUCCUACGGGAGGCAGCAGUGGGGAAUUUUGGACAAUGGGGGCAACCCUGAUCCAGCCAUGCCGCGUGAGUGAAGAAGGCCUUCGGGUUGUAAAGCUCUUUCGGCCGGGAAGAAAUCGCAUGGGCCAAUACCCUGUGUGGAUGACGGUACCGGAAUAAGAAGCACCGGCUAACUACGUGCCAGCAGCCGCGGUAAUACGUAGGGUGCGAGCGUUAAUCGGAAUUACUGGGCGUAAAGCGUGCGCAGGCGGUUUUGUAAGACAGGCGUGAAAUCCCCGGGCUCAACCUGGGAACUGCGUUUGUGACUGCAAGGCUAGAGUACGGCAGAGGGGGGUGGAAUUCCACGUGUAGCAGUGAAAUGCGUAGAGAUGUGGAGGAACACCAAUGGCGAAGGCAGCCCCCUGGGUCGAUACUGACGCUCAUGCACGAAAGCGUGGGUAGCAAACAGGAUUAGAUACCCUGGUAGUCCACGCCCUAAACUAUGUCAACUAGGUGUUGGGUGGGUAAAACCAUUUAGUACCGUAGCUAACGCGUGAAGUUGACCGCCUGGGGAGUACGGCCGCAAGGUUAAAACUCAAAGGAAUUGACGGGGACCCGCACAAGCGGUGGAUGAUGUGGAUUAAUUCGAUGCAACGCGAAAAACCUUACCUACCCUUGACAUGCCAGGAACUUGCCAGAGAUGGCUUGGUGCCCGAAAGGGAGCCUGGACACAGGUGCUGCAUGGCUGUCGUCAGCUCGUGUCGUGAGAUGUUGGGUUAAGUCCCGCAACGAGCGCAACCCUUGUCGUUAAUUGCCAUCAUUUAGUUGGGCACUUUAGCGAGACUGCCGGUGACAAACCGGAGGAAGGUGGGGAUGACGUCAAGUCCUCAUGGCCCUUAUGGGUAGGGCUUCACACGUCAUACAAUGGUCGGUACAAAGGGUCGCCAAGCCGCGAGGUGGAGCCAAUCCCAGAAAGCCGAUCGUAGUCCGGAUUGCAGGCUGCAACUCGCCUGCAUGAAGUCGGAAUCGCUAGUAAUCGUGGAUCAGCAUGUCACGGUGAAUACGUUCCCGGGUCUUGUACACACCGCCCGUCACACCAUGGGAGCGGGUUCCGCCAGAAGUAGGUAGCCUAACCGCAAGGAGGGCGCUUACCACGGCGGGGUUCGUGACUGGGGUGAAGUCGUAACAAGGUA
rnacentral:rRNA from 1 species